GACGAACGCUGGCGGCGUGCCUAAUACAUGCAAGUCGAACGCUUUUUCUUUCACCGGAGCUUGCUCCACCGAAAGAAAAAGAGUGGCGAACGGGUGAGUAACACGUGGGUAACCUGCCCAUCAGAAGGGGAUAACACUUGGAAACAGGUGCUAAUACCGUAUAACACUAUUUUCCGCAUGGAAGAAAGUUGAAAGGCGCUUUUGCGUCACUGAUGGAUGGACCCGCAGUGCAUUAGCUAGUUGGUGAGGUAACGGCUCACCAAGGCAACGAUGCAUAGCCGACCUGAGAGGGUGAUCGGCCACACUGGGACUGAGACACGGCCCAGACUCCUACGGGAGGCAGCAGUAGGGAAUCUUCGGCAAUGGACGAAAGUCUGACCGAGCAACGCCGCGUGAGUGAAAGAAG
rnacentral:rRNA from 1 species